AUUCCAUGAUGUGGGCACUUUCGAAGCAUCUCCUUGUAGCGUUCCGAAGCUUCACAUAAAAGUUUUCACAAAGACAACUGAGAGAAUUGAGAGAUAGCAUUCCUGAUUGC
rnacentral:snoRNA from 1 species